rnacentral:rRNA from 1 species
CCUACGGGGCGCAGCAGGCGCGAAACCUCCGCAAUGUGCGAAAGCACGACGAGGUUAUUCCGAGUGAUUUCCGCUGAGGAAAUCUUUUCUCAGAUCUAAAAAGUCUGGGGAAUAAGGGGAGGGCAAGUCUGGUGUCAGCCGCCGCGGUAAUACCAGCUCCUCGAGUGGUCAGGGCGUUUAUUGGGCCUAAAGCAUCCGUAGCCGGCUCAGUUGGUCUCCUGUUAAAUCCAGCGGCUCAACCGUUGGUCUGCAGGAGAUACCGCUGGGCUAGGAGGCGGGAGAGGCGGACGGUACUCCGAGGGUAGGGGUAAAAUCCUUUGAUCCCCGGAAGACCACCAGUGGCGAAGGCGGUCCGCCAGAACGCGCUCGACGGUGAGGGAUGAAAGCUGGGGGAGCGAACCGGAUUAGAUACCCGGGUAGUCCCAGCCGUAAACGAUGCGAGCUAGGUGACACAACGCCUUCGGGGCGUUGUGGUGCCGCAGGGAAGCCGUUAAGCUCGCCGCCUGGGGAGUACGGACGCAAGUCUGAAACUUAAAGGAAUUGGCGGGGGAGCACCACAAGGGGUGAAGCCUGCGGUUCAAUUGGAGUCAACGCCGGGAAUCUUACCGGGAGCGACAGCAGAUUGAAGGUCAAGCUGAAGACUUUACCAGACGAGCUGAGAGGAGGUGCAUGUCCGUCGCCAGCUCGUGCCGUGAGCGUCCUGAUAAGUCAGCACGAGCGAGACCCCUACUUCUAAUUGCUUUAACAGACAUCGCAAGGUGUUUGGUGCUAGGUU